rnacentral:lncRNA from 1 species
AUGGGGGGAUGUCCAAACUGCAAAUCCUGGGAUUCAGGCUGUGACAAGUGUUUGGUGGGUGCUGUGCCAGGUGAACACGUGGGUACAGGGUACAGGGUACAGGGUACAGGGUACAGGUACAGGGUACAGGUACAGGGUACAGGUACAGGGUCACACUGGCAGCUCUGGGACCCUCAUGUUUUGGAGCAGUUGAGGAAGAGCUGGGAGCUCCCAGCAGCUGGUGGAGAGGAGCCCAGGGUCAGCAGUGCCCACUGUGGUCCCUCUGUGCAGGACUGGCACCCAGCACUGCCAGCCCCUGCUGUGCCAGCCCCUGCUGUGCCAGCCGAGCAGAGAGCUGACAUUUCCUCAGGCAGGGCUGACAAAAAGGGCUUUUCCACAUCCCCCAAAGUCCAGUAGGAUCCACAUGUGUCCCUGGUUGAAAUCCCUGAGCUCCAACACCAGCUCUUUCCACUCGUGGCCCACAGAAAUGAAUGUCCCAGGUUUCCAGCCUGUUUGUCCAGGAGCUGUUUUUUCAUGCUGUUAGGAGUUACCCCAAGAAGAAAGAUUUGAGGUAGUCUGAGUUCAGCCAAACCCUAGCCAAAGGGUUAAAUCUUGGGAUUUAAAUGCAUCAAAAAAUAAUGUUUUCAUUGUAGUGUGAGUCAUCAGUAAUUCUAUAGUGUUUGUGUUCUUUUUAUUGUGACCUUUCAUCUCUGAAUUCUUUUUUGUUUCCCUUUCUUUUUCUUUAUUUCUCUGUAUCUUUCCUUCCCUCCUUCCUUGCUUGCUUGCUUCCUUAUCUUUUUAUUUCUCUCUCUCCCUGUGUAUCUUUCCUUUCUUUUUCCUUCUGUUUCUUCUGAAUGUGUGCCUCUGUAAAAUCUGUCCAAAUAUUUACAAAAGGAAAUGCUGGGUUGUGAAACUGAAUUCAGAGAAAAUGUUACACAUGCUGAAGAAAUGCAUCCAGCACGGUUUCCAAAUGUUCCCACAUGCAUUUUUGUCCUGUGUCUCAAGUGUUGGGGCUUGAUACUUCAUAUCUUUAUUCAGGCAAAACUUGCACAGAAAGGGCAGCGAGAUCCAGGCUGGGGUCUGUUCCAGUGGUGCUGUAAUUCUGGAGUGGUUCCAUUUGAUUUUGGCCAUGGGUGACUGGUUAAAAAGCCUGAAUAACCAGUGUGACUGGGUAACUGGUUUGUGCAAUGGGCCCGUUCCAGGCCAGGGGUUAUCGUCACUUGUCACCGAGCUGGGACACGCUGGCAUCGCUGUCAGGCACUGCAGAACAUCUCUGCAGCUCUGUCAUCUCCAAAAACCAUCAGCCCAGGCUGCACUGCGAGACCCCCGGUCCCUGGAGGAGCCAGGACAGGUCUCAGGUCCUGCUGGGACCAAAAAAACCCACACUCAGCUGUGUCAUGAUGAAAGUGCCAUGAAGUCAUUUUCCCAAGAAGUCCUUCAUGCUCACACUCAUGUCCUCAUGUCCUCAUGUCCUCGGACAUGUUUUGGCAGAGAGCAGGGAACUGUUUAAGCCCCAGGGAUAAAGGGAAUCGGCAGUGGGUCCCAUCUGCUCUCAGAAAAGCGUCACCUCCCACCCCCACACUCCAUGCUCAUGUUUCUAUUCUUACCCUCACAAAGGCAUCCAGUGCAAACAGGGCUUGUUUUGGAGGAAGGGGUUAAUUUUGUAUUUCCUGGCUUUUGUUAGGGCAGGAAAACGAGCCCUUCAUUCAAGCAGUGAGCUUUUAAAAGCCACUUCAGGCCUGUGUUGUAUUCUGCUUUCUUGCAUUCUUACUGCAGGUUUAUUUAAGAAAAGAAAACAAAAAUAAAGCGAGGAAAUAGCCAGCCCA